rnacentral:rRNA from 1 species
GACGGAGGGCGCAAGCGUUGUUCGGAAUCACUGGGCGUAAAGCGCGCGCGGGCGGAUGGACAAGUCGGAAGUGAAAGACCGGGGCUCAACUCCGGACCCGCUUUCGAGACUGUUCGUCUAGGGACUGGUAGGGGCGGGUGGAAUUCCCGGUGUAGCGGUGGAAUGCGUAGAGAUCGGGAAGAACACCGGUGGCGAAGGCGGCCCGCUGGGCCAGAUCCGACGCUGAGGCGCGAAAGCGUGGGGAGCAAACAGG